GGGAGUACGGCCGCAAGGCUAAAACUCAAAGGAAUUGACGGGGACCCGCACAAGCGGCGGAGCAUGCGGAUUAAUUCGAUGCAACGCGAAGAACCUUACCAAGGCUUGACAUAUACGAGAACGGGCUAGAAAUAGUCAACUCUUUGGACACUCGUAAACAGGUGGUGCAUGGUUGUCGUCAGCUCGUGUCGUGAGAUGUUGGGUUAAGUCCCGCAACGAGCGCAACCCUCGUUCUAUGUUGCCAGCACGUAAUGGUGGGAACUCAUGGGAUACUGCCGGGGUCAACUCGGAGGAAGGUGGGGAUGACGUCAAAUCAUCAUGCCCCUUAUGUCUUGGGCUUCACGCAUGCUACAAUGGCCGGUACAAAGGGCUGCAAUACCGCGAGGUGGAGCGAAUCCCAAAAAGCCGGUCCCAGUUCGGAUUGAGGUCUGCAACUCGACCUCAUGAAGUCGGAGUCGCUAGUAAUCGCAGAUCAGCAACGCUGCGGUGAAUACGUUCCCGGGUCUUGUACACACCGCCCGUCAAGUCAUGAAAGUCGGUAA
rnacentral:rRNA from 1 species